GAUCAUGGCUCAGAUUGAACGCUGGCGGCAGGCCUAACACAUGCAAGUCGAACGGUAACAGAAAGCAGCUUGCUGCUUUGCUGACGAGUGGCGGACGGGUGAGUAAUGUCUGGGAAACUGCCUGAUGGAGGGGGAUAACUACUGGAAACGGUAGCUAAUACCGCAUAACGUCGCAAGACCAAAGAGAGGGACCUUCGGGCCUCUUGCCAUCGGAUGUGCCCAGAUGGAUUAG
rnacentral:rRNA from 1 species